rnacentral:lncRNA from 1 species
UCGGCUGAGGGCUCGGCUGAGGGACCGGCUGCGGGACCGGCUCAGCGGGAAAACAGUACUUGGGGAGAGCAUUUCUCACCCCUGCCUAACUCUGCGCUUGCUUGGUGACAGAGCUGGAGCAUGUUUUCCAACAGAGAGCGAGAACUUAAUACAGAGAGCAGUGGUCUUGAAGUUCUUUCACCACUUUUCCCCACUAAAAUGCUGACAAGGUUGUGUAAGAAAGCACCAGUUAGAGGGCCCAGUGUUUGAUGAGUCUGUCCUGGUGGCUCAUCCUCCUUACUUUGUUCUCUGAAAGAUCACAGAAGAAAGGCUGAUCAUAAGGAUGUUACAGGUGGCCAGUGAACCCAGAGGACUCUGCAAACCAGGGAUUCCUUUUUGCCUCUGAUUGUGUUUGCCUCCCAGUCCCACGGAUGCAUCCUGCAGCUGUUCCUGUGCAGGGAGGGCUGGCAGCGAGGCUGCGGCUCCUGUGUGUACGAGCACAGCCCCGGGAUGCCCGCACCACAUCCACAUCCUCAGGUGCAAACACCCUGACUGCAGAUGACCAAACACAGUCGGACCCAGCAGAGCACGCGAGCCUUGCCUCUGAAGAGACCAACCCAGGAGAGCAGCUGCCAGGAGAGGAGGCUUCAGCCACCAUCCUGGACGUGGAGGGGAACACAGAGUCUGUCAAUAAAAGGGAGGAGCCAGAGGGCACCGAGCCCCUGCCUGCAGGAGAGGAGGAGAGCUCUGAGCUGCCCUCUGUGUGGCGAGAGGAGAGCAGGGGGCCUUCACCGCCAGCACCAGGAGAAGAUACUGGGGCACCAUCUCCAGGAGCAGCAGAGGACAGUGGGCUGGCAGAGGGCAGUGACAGCUCUGUAGUGGAAGUCAUCGAGAAAGUACAUAUUACUGAAGAGGACCACCUCACUGAGGGUGAGACGGGAGAACAGGUGGAAACUGAGCUGCUCAGUGAGACAGUAAGUGAAGGGCCUGAAACAAAAGAAGAAGAAACAGGAGAAGCUGUGGAUAGUGCAGCAGCGACAGAGAUAGAUGAUGGGACUGCACUGACACAGCUCAGAGAACAGCUGCAGGCAAGAGGAGGAAACAAUGCUGAGAAUGGAAUAGUGACCAUUUAAACCUGGGAUUCUGUUGUGUAAGGGAACAAUUCUUCUGUCUUGAAAGGAUAUUGAAGAAAUAAAGCAAGAUUCUGGGCAGGAAAGCAAGACUGCUUAAGGGAAUGGAAAAAUUCUUACUUUCAGAGACAUCAAAAACAUUCACAGCUUUGUCUCUAGGAAGGUAUGACUAAGAGGAUACAAGCUGAUCCUCAUUCAAAAAAAGUAUAGGUGUCUAAAGGUAGCUGAUGUCCACCCAAGGGAAUGCUCAGUGACAUGUUAAGUGUGUUGAAUUUGAAACUAUUAAAGAGAGUUGGCUUUUUUUCAUGUUACAUUAACAAUCGUCUUAGUCACAGAGAAUCGCUGCAGUUGGAUAUCUUUCAUUGGUCACCUGCAUUCCCACACAAAUUUCCCAGCUUUCCUGUGUUCCCUACCCACCCUCACAAAACACCACAAUUCAGUGUGAGGAAGUCCCACAUUCUCAUGUUCCCUACCCUUGAAGAGUCUUCUAGCUGGGGAA